CGUCAACCGAGGCCCUCGCCCCCCGUUGGCGAUCUCCGCAGGGAGGCAACAAUGGCAACACACACAAAAAAGAGGCGGCCCGACAGAUCAUCCCAACGAGGACAAUGCGCCUCUGACAGGCCACACGGACCAUCGUCGAUUUCCGCGCAGCCGGGUUUGCGGCGAGCCGAAUGAUUCUUGCUCAACCAAGGACCGACCAAUUGCGGCGGCGGCAGAAAAAAAAAUAAAAUCCGCUCCCUCGAUCCCGAGAGACGGGCGCGAAAACACCAUGCUUUUUUUUCU
rnacentral:lncRNA from 1 species